CCUACGGGUGGCAGCAGUAGGGAAUCUUUCACAAUGGGCGAAAGCCUGAUGGAGCAACGCCGCGUGCAGGAUGAAGGCCUUCGGGUUGUAAACUGCUUUUAUAAGCGAGAAAUAUGAUGGUACCUUAUGAAUAAGGAUCGGCUAACUACGUGCCAGCAGCCGCGGUCAUACGUAGGAUCCGAGCAUUAUCCGGAGUGACUGGGUGUAAAGAGUUGCGUAGGUGGCAUAAUAAGUAGCUAGUGAAAUCUGGUGGCUCAACCAGUCAGACGAUUGGCUAAACUGUUAAGCUCGAGACCGUUAGGGGUAACUGGAAUUUCUGGUGUAGGAGUGAAAUGCGUAGAUAUUAGAAGGAACACCAAUAGCGUAGGCAGGUUACUGGGACGGUUCUGACACUAAGGCACGAAAGCGUAGGGAGCAAACGGGAUUAGAUACCCGGGUAGUC
rnacentral:rRNA from 1 species